rnacentral:rRNA from 1 species
ACGGGUGAGUAACACGUGGGUAACCUGCCCUGCACUCUGGGAUAACUCCGGGAAACCGGGGCUAAUACCGGAUACGAGCCUGGUCCGCAUGGGCCGGGUUGGAAAGUUCUUCGGUGCAGGAUGGACCCGCGGCCUAUCAGCUUGUUGGUGGGGUAAUGGCCCACCAAGGCGAUGACGGGUAGCCGGCCUGAGAGGGCGACCGGCCACACUGGGACUGAGACACGGCCCAGACUCCUACGGGAGGCAGCAGUGGGGAAUAUUGCACAAUGGGCGAAAGCCUGAUGCAGCGACGCCGCGUGAGGGAUGACGGCCUUCGGGUUGUAAACCUCUUUCAGCAGGGACGAAGCGCAAGUGACUGUACCUGCAGAAGAAGCACCGGCUAACUACGUGCCAGCAGCCGCGGUAAUACGUAGGGUGCGAGCGUUGUCCGGAUUUAUUGGGCGUAAAGAGCUUGUAGGCGGCUCGUCACGUCGGGUGUGAAAACUCGCGGCUCAACCGCGAGCCUGCACCCGAUACGGGCGAGCUAGAGUUCGGCAGGGGAGACUGGAAUUCCUGGUGUAGCGGUGGAAUGCGCAGA